rnacentral:rRNA from 1 species
UACGUAGGGCGCAAGCGUUGUCCGGAAUUAUUGGGCGUAAAGAGCUCGUAGGCGGCCUGUUGCGUCCGCUGUGAAAUCCCGGGGCUCAACCCCGGGCCUGCAGUGGAUACGGGCUGGCUAGAGGCAGGCAGGGGAGAACGGAAUUCCUGGUGUAGCGGUGAAAUGCGCAGAUAUCAGGAGGAACACCGGUGACGAAGGCGGGUCUCUGGGCCGAUAUUGACGCUGAGGAGCGAAAGCGUGGGGAGCGAACAGG